rnacentral:rRNA from 1 species
GGAGUUAGCCGGUGCUUCUUCUGCGAGUAACGUCACAGAUGUAAGGUAUUAACUUACACCCUUUCCUCCUCGCUGAAAGUGCUUUACAACCCGAAGGCCUUCUUCACACACGCGGCAUGGCUGCAUCAGGGUUUCCCCCAUUGUGCAAUAUUCCCCACUGCUGCCUCCCGUAGGAGUCUGGGCCGUGUCUCAGUCCCAGUGUGGCUGAUCAUCCUCUCAGACCAGCUAGGGAUCGUCGCCUAGGUGAGCCUUUACCUCACCUACUAGCUAAUCCCACCUGGGCUUAUCCAUCAGCGCAAGGCCCGAAGGUCCCCUGCUUUCCCCCGUAGGGCGUAUGCGGUAUUAGCAGUCGUUUCCAACUGUUAUCCCCCACAAAUGGGCAAAUUCCCUGGCAUUACUCACCCGUCCGCCGCUCGUCAUCUUCAAAAGCAAGCUUUUGAAAUGUUACCGCUCGACUUGCAUGUGUUAGGCCUGCCGCCAGCGUUCAAUCUGAGCCAGGAUCAAACUCUGA